AACGAACGCUGGCGGCAUGCCUAACACAUGCAAGUCGAACGAGACCUUCGGGUCUAGUGGCGCACGGGUGCGUAACGCGUGGGAACCUGCCCUUAGGUUCGGGAUAACUCCCCGAAAGGGGUGCUAAUACCGGAUAAUGUCUUCGGACCAAAGAUUUAUCGCCUUUGGAUGGGCCCGCGUUGGAUUAGCUAGUUGGUAGGGUAAAAGCCUACCAAGGCGACGAUCCAUAGCUGGUCUGAGAGGAUGAUCAGCCACACUGGGACUGAGACACGGCCCAGACUCCUACGGGAGGCAGCAGUGGGGAAUAUUGGACAAUGGGCGAAAGCCUGAUCCAGCAAUGCCGCGUGAGUGAUGAAGGCCUUAGGGUUGUAAAGCUCUUUUAACCGGGAUGAUAAUGACAGUACCGGGAGAAUAAGCGCCGGCUAACUCCGUG
rnacentral:rRNA from 1 species